UACGAAGGGGGCUAGCGUUGCUCGGAAUCACUGGGCGUAAAGCGCACGUAGGCGGACUCUUAAGUCGGUGGUGAAAUCCUGGAGCUCAACUCCAGAACUGCCUUCGAUACUGAGAGUCUCGAGUCCGGGAGAGGUGAGUGGAACUGCGAGUGUAGAGGUGAAAUUCGUAGAUAUUCGCAAGAACACCAGUGGCGAAGGCGGCUCACUGGCCCGGUACUGACGCUGAGGCGCGAAAGCCAGGGGAGCAAACGGG
rnacentral:rRNA from 1 species